rnacentral:rRNA from 1 species
UACGGAGGAUGCAAGCGUUAUCCGGAAUGAUUGGGCGUAAAGCGUCCGCAGGUGGCAAUGUAAGUCUGCUGUCAAAGCGUCUGGCUCAACCAGAUAAAGGCAGUGGAAACUACAUAGCUAGAGUAAGGUAGGGGUAGAGGGAAUUCCUGGUGUAGCGGUGAAAUGCGUAGAGAUCAGGAAGAACACCGGUGGCGAAAGCGCCCUGCUGGACCGUAACUGACACUGAGGGACGAAAGCUAGGGGAGCGAAUGGG